rnacentral:lncRNA from 1 species
AACUUAGAAAGGGGCCAGAGUUCAAGGAGCAUGAGGGACCACCUACCUGUCACAAAGCUAUGGGAACUGAAACACAGAUACCGAAGAAAUAAAAGAAACUGGCUCCACAGAGAUCAGGGCAAUAUUAAAGGAAGGACCCAUCUGGUUGUAGACCAAUACAUUCUCCACUGAGUAAGAAGAAUUUUGAUGGUUUUAAAUUCUACAAAUGAAGACGACUUUAGUUGUUGUUUCUUUCCUCCAUGGGAAUACACGUGGGGAUCUUUUUGUGGCCAUUUACUUCUCCUUGCAAGAGAACAGUAUUCUUCACAGAAUACGUGGCUUAAGAAGACAUUUUGUUUCGACUUCAGAAAUAUCUUCUUCAACCUGUGGGCAAGAGUUAAAAUCGGAGUAAAGAUCCAACGCCUCUCUGAGAUUUGCACAGUCACUGGAUGCGCUGAAGAAUGGAGAAGCCUGAGAACAUCUCUUCAGGACUGAGCAUCAGUGACUCCCAUGGCUUAUGUGCUCAUGUGUUUCUCUCUUAGGUCUUCACUGAGUUGUUUUCUUACCUCCCCUAUAACUGCUUUUCCUAACUGUGUGUGAUAACCAGUAGUCAUGUCAACCUCAAGGGAUGGGGAAUUUGCAUGAAAGAUGAACAACAACUCUUGCAUUAAAGAUGAAUCACCACUCUGA